GACGAACGCUGGCGGCGUGCCUAAUACAUGCAAGUAGAACGCUGAAGAGAGGAGCUUGCUCUUCUUGGAUGAGUUGCGAACGGGUGAGUAACGCGUAGGUAACCUGCCUUGUAGCGGGGGAUAACUAUUGGAAACGAUAGCUAAUACCGCAUAACAAUGGAUGACCCAUGUCAUUUAUUUGAAAGGGGCAAAUGCUCCACUACAAGAUGGACCUGCGUUGUAUUAGCUAGUAGGUGAGGUAACGGCUCACCUAGGCGACGAUACAUAGCCGACCUGAGAGGGGGUGGGGCACCCAGGGGAGUGCGCCCCGCCCCGGCCCCCUGGGGGGGGCACCGGUAGGGAUUCGGCGGAAAGAGGGCCAACCUUGACCGCGCACCGCGGGGUGAGUAAAGAGGUUUUUCGGAUCUUAAAGCUCUGUUGAAGGUCAAUAAGGGGUGGGGGGGUGAAAAUUUCACACUGUGACGUUAGUUAACAAAAAAGGGCCGGCUAACUAGGUG
rnacentral:rRNA from 1 species